rnacentral:rRNA from 1 species
AUUGAACGCUGGCGGCAUGCUUUACACAUGCAAGUCGAACGGUAGAGGGGGCAACCCCUUGAGAGUGGCGAACGGGUGAGUAAUGCAUCGGAACGUGCCCAGUCGUGGGGGAUAACUACUCGAAAGAGUGGCUAAUACCGCAUACGACCUGAGGGUGAAAGCGGGGGACCGAAAGGCCUCGCGCGAUUGGAGCGGCCGAUGUCAGAUUAGGUAGUUGGUGGGGUAAAGGCCUACCAAGCCUGCGAUCUGUAGCUGGUCUGAGAGGACGACCAGCCACACUGGGACUGAGACACGGCCCAGACUCCUACGGGAGGCAGCAGUGGGGAAUUUUGGACAAUGGGCGCAAGCCUGAUCCAGCCAUGCCGCGUGCGGGAAGAAGGCCUUCGGGUUGUAAACCGCUUUUGUCAGGGAAGAAAUCCUUUGGGUUAAUACCUCGGGGGGAUGACGGUACCUGAAGAAUAAGCACCGGCUAACUACGUG